CAAAAGAGAAGAAAAAAGAAGGAGAAGAAGAAGAAGAGAUAAGUCUAGAAAAAAUUAUUACUUCUCGGCCUUUUCUGUGGUUUAAAGCUCGUGAUAAAUCUAUUCUUCUUACUCCUCCGCCUCCCUCUUAUCCUAAUUUUCCCUCUUCUCCUUCUCUGAAGAGAAAGAGAGAGGAGAGUGAAGAGGAUGGGGAAGAGCCUGUUAAAGUACAAGGGAAGAAAAAGAGAGUGGAGUUUCAAAU
rnacentral:ribozyme from 13 species